rnacentral:misc_RNA from 1 species
UUUAUUAGUUGUUUUUUCUUCUUCUUUCCGUAUGACUAUACCUAGGUUAUUAGAUUUUCUCUUUGUGAAUUUUUUACGCACUUGUGUUUUUGAUAUGCUUUACUUAAGCGAGGGUCUAUCGGCUGAGAACCAAGGUGUAUUUUGAAAUUUAAUGUGCUUUGGAGGUAUUUUAGGCAGUCGUUCGAUACAUUUCAUUCUUGUUCUCGAUACUGUGGUGUGAUGGCUAUUGAUUCUCUUGCUAAUUCAAGUUGAACUAAAAAAAACUUAAAGGAGAUGAAACAUGUUUCCACCUUUUUCUUUAAUAACCCUUCUACAAUCUUGAACUUCGAAUUUUCUUGAACAUUCAAUUUUUUUUAAUUUUCUGAAUUUCUUGAUACAUGUCAUGUUAAUAAUCUUUUUCUUUAUGGCUGUCUUGAUUUUUUCUUUUUUGGUG